AUUGAACGCUGGUGGAAUGCUUUACACAUACAAGUCGAACGGCAGCACGGGAGCUUGCUCCUGGUGGCGAGUGGCGAACGGGUGAGUAACAUAUCGGAACGUAUCCAAUAAUGGGGGAUAACUAAGCGAAAGCAUGGCCAAUACCGCAUACGCCCUGAGGGGGAAAGCUAGGGAUCUUCGGACCUGGCGUUAAUGGAGCGGCCGAUAUCUGAUUAGCUAGUUGGUGAGGUAAAGGCUCACCAAGGCGACGAUCAGUAGCUGGUCUGAGAGGACGACCAGCACACUGGAACUGAGACACGGUCCAGACUCCUACGGGAGGCAGCAGUGGGGAAUUUUGGACAAUGGGCGCAAGCCUGAUCCAGCCAUUCCGCGUGAGUGAAGAAGGCCUUCGGGUUGUAAAGCUCUUUCGCAAGGGAAGAAAGAUUACGCUCUAACAUAGCGUGAUUAUGACGGUACCUUGAUAAGAAGCACCGGCUAACUACGUGCCAGCCGCCGCAGUAAGAC
rnacentral:rRNA from 1 species